CAAGAGGUUUCAUUAGAAACCAUUGAUUAUUUAUAAGUAAUCGGCUU
rfam:Vigna radiata var. radiata cultivar VC1973A scaffold_171, whole genome shotgun sequence